UUAGCUGUUUGAGGCUCUUGCUCGGGCUCUGAGAUGACUGCAAAAACAGUGGUGGAGAAGAAUUGCUCUUCAGACAGAGUGAGAGAAGAACUGUUUGCAAAAAAAAAAAGUUGUUUCUACAAGGUCUGAAUUACUUCAAAGAAGAUACUGAAGUUUGUCCCAGGCUUCACGAAGUCUCUAACCACAAAUGCAAAACUGCAUUUGAGGUAUUUGUCUCGUAUGUAAAAAUGAGGUGAAGAUAGAUCUUGUGCUUUGUCAGUUCAGUUCUUCUAUUAUGAAGUGAAACUUUAGAAAAGAGAGUAAAAGAAGGAACUCAAGAAUUACUGAUCCAUUACAUAAAUUCUUCCCAAAAUAACAAUAAACCACUUGUAACUACUUAGAAGAUACCAGAGAGGGGUGAAACAAAGUCAGGUUUUUGUGGUAGAUGCUUGGGCUCUUAUCCCCAAGGUUUUGUUUUCACUGUGACUUCAUUCUUCCUAAAGCUCUUCAUUUGGAAUAUGGGCAAAAUUCUG